rnacentral:rRNA from 1 species
UACAUGGGGUGCAAGCGUUACUCGGAAUCACUGGGCGUAAAGAGCGCGUAGGCGGCUUGGUAAGUUUGGUGUGAAAGCCCCGGACUCAAUUCGGGAAGUGCAUUGAAUACUGCUAAGCUAGAGUACAGGAGAGGUGAACGGAAUUCCUGGUGUAGAGGUGAAAUUCGUAGAUAUCAGGAGGAACAACAGUGGCGAAGGCGGUUCACUGGACUGUCACUGACGCUGAGGCGCGAAAGCGUGGGGAGCAAACAGG